rnacentral:rRNA from 1 species
AGUGAACGCUGGCGGUAGGCCUAACACAUGCAAGUCGAACGGCAGCACAGUAAGAGCUUGCUCUUACGGGUGGCGAGUGGCGGACGGGUGAGGAAUACAUCGGAAUCUACUUUUUCGUGGGGGAUAACGUAGGGAAACUUACGCUAAUACCGCAUACGACCUACGGGUGAAAGCAGGGGAUCUUCGGACCUUGCGCGAUUGAAUGAGCCGAUGUCGGAUUAGCUAGUUGGCGGGGUAAAGGCCCACAAAGGCGACGAUCCGUAGCUGGUCUGAGAGCAUGAUCAGCCACACUGGAACUGAGACACGGUCCAGACUCCUACGGGAGGCAGCAGUGGGGAAUAUUGGACAAUGGGCGCAAGCCUGAUCCAGCCAUACCGCGUGGGUGAAGAAGGCCUUCGGGUUGUAAAGCCCUUUUGUUGGGAAAGAAAAGCAGCAGGUUAAUACCCCGCUGUUCUGACGGUACCCAAAGAAUAAGCACCGGCUAACUUCGUG